UAAAGUUUGUCGGUUAGACUGCAAGGUCGCGGACUUUGGUGGCUUGAUAACCCAGCAGGCGGCUUUUA
rnacentral:tRNA from 1 species